AUAGCCUACGGGGGGCAGCAGUGGGGAAUAUUGCACAAUGGGGGAAACCCUGAUGCAGCGACGCCGCGUGAGCGAUGAAGUAUUUCGGUAUGUAAAGCUCUAUCAGCAGGGAAGAAAAUGACGGUACCUGACUAAGAAGCCACGGCUAACUACGUGCCAGCAGCCGCGGUAAUACGUAGGUGGCAAGCGUUGUCCGGAAUUACUGGGUGUAAAGGGAGCGUAGAUGGGUUGUUAAGUCAGUUGUGAAAGUUUGCGGCUCAACCGUAAAAUUGC
rnacentral:rRNA from 1 species